CCCAGCGCUUCGCGUACCAGGAAGGGGACGGCGUCCUGAAAGGGACAUUUAAAAAACGGAGGCAACGCGUCUAUUAAUUAGGUGGCGGCGCCUGGGGUCGCAGCACUCAAGAGGCUGAGAGUCUCGCCCUUUUGCCUAGUGGAGGAGCUCGGCUCACUGCAAGCUCCGCGCCACAACCCCCCCGCCGCCCCAGGUUCAAGCGAUUCUCCUGCCUCAGUCUCCCGAGUAGACUGGGAUUACAGGCGACUGCCACCAUGCCCGGCUAAUUUUUGUAUUUUUGGUAGAGACGGGGUUUCACUAUGUUGGCCAGGCUGAACCCGAACUCGUGACCUCAGGUGAUCUUCCCGCCUCAGUCUCUGAGUGCUGGGAUUGUAGGCGCGGCCAGGCAUGGUGGCUCACACCUGUAAUCCCAGACCGAGGCAGGUGGAUUGCUUGAGCCCAGGAGUUCAAGACCAGCCUAGGCAACAUAUUCUAGGACAAGGAGACUGGCUUUCACAGAGGUUCGGGUUCGGUUCAGUUUUCUUCAGAAGAACUUCAGAAUGCACUACAACAGGAAAAUCAUAUUCUAGAUGGAGUCAAUGUCAAUCUGUUUGUAUACCAGAUACAUCUAUGAUAUACAUGCAGCUACUAUCUGGUUAUGUAUCAAAUAGAUCAUAAAUGUGGAAUGAUGGGGACUUUGAGAGAUUUGUAACUGAAGCUGCCUUCAUGCUUGUUAGAAUGGUGGGGUGGAAGAGUUCCUAGUUUUAAAGGAGAAGUACAAGAAGACCCAUAAUGGUUAGCAAGAUAUAUAGAAAACGGUAGACACAGCAGCACACUUUUCAAGUCAGCUCCAGGUUCAAGCUCAAAGGCCUAAAGUUUUGCAAACAUCUGAUGAAGAGGAAGAUUUUUGAGACUGUUCCAGCCUAUUACAUAAAGGAAACAUAACUGAGAAUUUUGUCUAAAGGUUUUUAUUUGAAACAAAUAUUUGCACCCAUCAAGAGCUUAUUUUACCCACUCCAAAUUAAAACACAGCACAAGGGCCACAUUUAUUUGGCAGGACAGUUCCAAUAUGUGAACCUCCUCCUCCUCACUGCUGUUGGGGUGAUUUGACUCAUAAGCAGCUGUUCUUACACAAAAUAUUAACCCGAACUGCUAGUGUCACACAAAAGGAAGUGGUCUUGAUUGUGUAUGUGGGCCAGCGUGUUCUACAAAUGCUGAAAGGUGGGAGAAGCACAAAUACAACCCACUCUUUAAAACAACUAAAUAAUUCAAAGUAAAAUGUUCUAUCCCCAUCCCCUCCCCGCCCCCGCCUUCUCCAAUAAUAAAACGUAGCAUCGAG
rnacentral:antisense_RNA from 1 species